CCUACGGGGGGCAGCAGUGAGGAAUAUUGGUCAAUGGACGAGAGUCUGAACCAGCCAAGUAGCGUGAAGGAUGACUGCCCUAUGGGUUGUAAACUUCUUUUAUAUGGGAAUAAAACGUUCCACGUGUGGGAUUUUGUAUGUACCAUAUGAAUAAGGAUCGGCUAACUCCGUGCCAGCAGCCGCGGUAAUACGGAGGAUCCGAGCGUUAUCCGGAUUUAUUGGGUUUAAAGGGAGCGUAGGUGGAUUGUUAAGUCAGUUGUGAAAGUUUGCGGCUCAACCGUAAAAUUGCAGUUGAAACUGGCAGUCUUGAGUACAGUAGAGGUGGGCGGAAUUCGUGGUGUAGCGGUGAAAUGCUUAGAGAUCACGAAGAACUCCGAUUGCGAAGGCAGUUCACUGGACUGCAACUGACACUGAGGCUCGAAAGUGUGGGUAUCAAACAGGAUUAGAUACCCUAGUAGUC
rnacentral:rRNA from 1 species